rnacentral:rRNA from 1 species
CUACGGGUUGCUGCAGUGGGGAAUAUUGCACAAUGGAGGAAACUCUGAUGCAGCGACGCCACGUGAGUGAAGAAGUAUUUCGGUAUGUAAAGCUCUAUCAGCAGGGAAGAUAGUGACGGUACCUGACUAAGAAGCACCGGCUAAAUACGUGCCAGCAGCCGCGGUAAUACGUAUGGUGCAAGUGUUAUCCGGAUUUACUGGGUGUAAAGGGAGUGUAGGUGGCAUGGCAAGUCAGAAGUGAAAGCCCAGGGCUCAACCCUGGGACUGCUUUUGAAACUGCCGAGCUAGAGUGCAGGAGAGGUAAGUGGAAUUCCUAGUGUAGCGGUGAAAUGCGUAGAUAUUAGGAGGAACACCAGCGGCGAAGGCGGCUUACUGGACUGUAACUGACACUGAGGCUCGAAAGCGUGGGGAGCAAACAGGAUUAGAUACCCGUGUAGUC